UACGUAGGGGGGCUAGCGUUGUCCGGAAUUAUUGGGCGUAAAGAGCUCGUAGGCGGUUUGUCGCGUCUGCCGUGAAAGUCCGGGGCUCAACUCCGGAUCUGCGGUGGGUACGGGCAGACUAGAGUGAUGUAGGGGAGACUGGAAUUCCUGGUGUAGCGGUGAAAUGCGCAGAUAUCAGGAGGAACACCGAUGGCGAAGGCAGGUCUCUGGGCAUUAACUGACGCUGAGGAGCGAAAGCAUGGGGAGCGAACAGG
rnacentral:rRNA from 1 species